UACGGGGGGGGCAAGCGUUGUUCGGAAUUACUGGGCGUAAAGGGUGCGUAGGCGGCUUUCUAAGUUGGAUGUGAAAACUCUGGGCUCAACCCAGAGCCUGCAUCCAAAACUGGAGAGCUUGGGUUCUGGAGGGGAAAGCGGAAUUCCUGGUGUAGCGGUGAAAUGCGUAGAUAUCAGGAGGAACACCGGUGGCGAAGGCGGCUUUCUGGACAGUUCCUGACGCUGAGGCACGAAGGCCAGGGGAGCAAACGGG
rnacentral:rRNA from 1 species